rnacentral:rRNA from 1 species
AUAAUACUCCAUAGAUCAUGGGAUCUGGAAUGACUCAUGGUUGAAAGUUCCGGCGCUUAAGGAUCGCUCUGCGGCUUAUCAGGUUGUAGUGGGUGUAACGUACCCCCUAGCCAAUGACGAGUAUGGGCCUUGAGAGAGGGAGCCCAGAGUUGGAUUCUGAGACACGAAUCCAGGCCCUACGGGGCGCAGCAGUCGCGAAAACUUCACACUGGGGGCAACCCCGAUGAGGGAAUUCCUAGUGCUAGGACAUUUGUUCUAGCUUUUCUCUAGCGUAGAUAACUAGAGGAAUAAGGGCUGGGUAAGACGGGUGCCAGCCGCCGCGGUAAUACCUGCAGCCCAAGUGGUGGUCGAUUUUAUUGAGUCUAAAGCGUUCGUAGCCGGUUUGAUAAAUCCUUGGGUAAAUCGGGAAGCUUAACUUUCCGACUUCCGAGGAGACUGUCAAACUUGGGACCGGGAGAGGCUAGAGGUACUUCUGGGGUAGGGGUAAAAUCCUGUAAUCCUAGAAGGACCACCGGUGGCGAAGGCGUCUAGCUAGAACGGAUCCGACGGUGAGGGACGAAGCCCUGGGUCGCAAACGGGAUUAGAUACCCCGGUAGUCCAGGGUGUAAACGCUGCCGACUUGGUGU